UCGGGAAUUUUGGGCAAUGGGCGAAAGCCUGACCCAGCAACGCCGCGUGAAGGAUGAAGUAUUUCGGUAUGUAAACUUCGAAAGAAUAGGAAGAAUAAAUGACGGUACUAUUUAUAAGGUCCGGCUAACCACGUGCCAGCAGCCGCGGUAAUACGUAGGGACCAAGCGUUGUUCGGAUUUACUGGGCGUAAAGGGCGCGUAGGCGGCAAUUCAAGUCAUCUGUGAAAUCUCCGGGCUUAACUCGGAACGGUCAGAUGAUACUGCUUUGCUAGAGUGCAGAAGGGGCAAUCGGAAUUCUUGGUGUAGCGGUGAAAUGCGUAGAUAUCAAGAGGAACACCUGAGGUGAAGACGGGUUGCUGGGCUGACACUGACGCUGAGGCGCGAAAGCCAGGGGAGCAAACGGGAUUAGAUACCCUUGUAGUCCCUGAGCGGGCUGGCAAGGCGCAU
rnacentral:rRNA from 1 species